CGACCAGGGUCCGCAUGCUGCCCUCCAGCCUACGUGAAUGAGUACCAGAGCCCUGCUUAGCUUGUGGCCCAUCCCUCAGAGCCCCAGCUCCCCCCUCCCCCACACCACCCACACUGACUGGAUGAAGGUUUGCUGUGUUUCAGGGUGCUGCAAGCCUCGACGAAGGCUAACCAGAGCCCCCUCUCUCUCCUUUUCUUCUGUACCCCGCUGGGCUUGCCGCAGGAACUGCUGCACCUGGAGUUCAGGGCAGGGAAAGGAGAACACAUAGUUCCCAGAAAGCAAGUUCUAAGUUUCUCUCUGCCCACUUCACCUGUGAGCCUUCCAAUAUCAUACCACCUCCAGAACUUGUCAUUCACACUAAUGCAACUAAUAAGCAUCUACCUUGCAGUGGAGUGGACAGAAAAUCAGAACUGAGUUCUAAUACCAUACCUGCCACUCACUCCACAUGGGACCUGAACCUAAGUUUCCUCACCUGAAAAUGAGAAUAACAAUAUCUACCCUGCCUUCAUACAAGGUUCUUUCAAGGAUAUUUAAACCUCUCAGCCUGGCAAAACCUACUCCUCCAGCCAUUCUCCCCAUGCAACCUACACUCUAACAACAACUAGCACAACAUUAGCCUUUUUUUUUUUUAACACUUCCGAGCUUUUGCACAUGCUAUUCCUUCUGCCUGGAUACCCUCUCCAGCUUCCCACUCUUUUCAGAUUUCUGCUCCUCAUUCUCUCUGGGAAGUUAGCUCUUUUUGAGAGACUUAGGAGUUUCUUUUGUUCCUCAUGUUUCCUUCCCUUAUGACAUGUCUUCUUCACUGGGCUGUGAGCACCUCAAAGAAAGGGACUUCAUCUUUAUGUACCUCAGUGACCAGCACAGUGUCCUGGCAUAAAGUAAGCACACAAUGGAAUAGUACAACCUAGAAAUAAGUUGACAAAAUAUAUGUCAACAUAGUAUGUACGAUAAACUAUGUAUGUAAACAUAAUACAAAUAUAGGGGAUACUCAAUGCUUGCUGAAUAAAUCCUUUCAUUCACUCAUUCAAUAAAUACUAAGCACUUAACUAUAUGCCAGAUAAUGUGCGGGCAACCGGGUUUUCAAUGAUAACAAAUAACACAGGAUCUAGGUUUUCCUGCAAUUAAAGUCUAGUUGGAGAAAGAACAAUAAACAAGCCAUUAGAUAAUGAUUAAUAUUUUACAAGAAACAAGUAGGUGGCCGGGCACAGUGGCUCACGCCUGUAAUCCCAGCACUUUGGGAGUCCGAGGCGGGUGGAUCACGAGAUCAGGUGUUCGAGACCAGCCUGACAAACAUGGUGAAACCCCGCCUCUACUAAAAAUACAAAAAUUAGCCGGGCAUGGUGGCGCACGCCUGUAAUCCCAGCUACUCAGGAGGCUGAGGCAGGAGAAUCGCUUGAACCCGGGAGGCGGAUGUUGCAGUGAGCCGAGAUCAUGCCACUGCACUCCAGCCUGGCGACACAGCGAGACUCUGUCUCAAAAAAACAAAACAAAACAAAAAGAAGGUUCUCAAGACAGAAUACCAAAAGAAACCCACAUCAGACGUAGCGAAUGCCAAGGGCUUGAGACACAAGGGUCCGAUAUAUCGUUGCAGGAACUGAAAAGGGGACAGUGGCUAGGAUGAGAAAACUGAUAAAAUUAGAGUUAGGAAGAGGCUAGACCAUGCUAUGAUUUGCAGGACACAGGAAAGAUUUUGGUCUCCAUGUGUUUUUAAAGGACGUAUUGACGGCGACAAGCAUAGAUGCAGGGUGACCUUUUAGGAGACUGCAGUAGUAUCCAGAGAGGUAGUGGUGGCAGCUUCGAUGGUGAAGCAUGUAAAGACUCCAAAGCUCUUCAGGAGGUACACAACUAGGACUUGAUGAUGGAAUGAUAUGGGGUUGAGGGUCAAAGAGUUGUGCAGGAUGAUUCCCCUGUUUCUGGCUUGACCCACUGGAUGCAUGGAAGUGUAGAGUGGAUUGCGUUCAGGUUUGGGGCAGACCUCGAGUACUCCCGGGAGUCUGGCGCCCAGUGGCGUGGACUCCAGCGCACCCUGCCUUGCCCCCUCACCUCGGCCUCCCCGAGGAUCGCAGCCACACAUCCCUCUCCAGCUUCCUCUGGGGCGUCUUCUCUCAGCAGCCUCUUGCUGACCAGCUGCUGCUCCCUCCGCGCCUUCCGCAGUGCUGGGGGCAGAGGAGCGGGCUGAGCGUGGGAAGGACGACCGGAACCCAGAUCCCGCGGCUCCAAGCCUGAAGUCUCAACCUAUCUCCGAUCGCUAUAUGCCCCCGCGCUCCCUCGGCCGCCCACACCUGCCUCCUGCUCCCGCCGGCGGCGCCGUAGCUCCUCCACCCCGCAGACUGUGGGCCUAAGGUGGCCCUGCCGUCGGCUCCACAUGGUAGAGCAGGAGGAGGAACGCCGCAGGAAACAGCCGCCACAACGCUCCCAGGGGCGUAGACGAUGGCACCGACUGCGCAGACUCAGCACAGGGAAGGCCCAGGCGGGGAAGUCGCCAGGAGCGGGGAAAAGAAGUCACUCAUCCCUUACCUCAAGUGCCCCAAGCCAGCGGUGUCACAAUCUACUCAGCAAACACAACUUCCCCACCCACAAUGCGCUCUAGAUGAACGUUCAAAACAACCCUGAACUCCGGGAAGCGCCACCAUGCCAUUUCACCAUUAAUGCGGAUCCCACUGAUAAGAGCUGCCAGAAACGCUUGAAGCGUCAUUGAAUUGUCAACGAAGAGUCAAACUCUGUAAAAUAUUUGAAGAGACUUAUUCUGAGCCAAAUAUGAGUGACCAUGGCCCGUGACACAGCCCUCGGGAGGUCCUGAGAACAUGUGCCCAAGGUGGUCCAGUACAGCUUGGUUUUACAUAUUUUAGGGAGAUAUGAGACUUCAAUCCAAAUCAUUCAAGAAAUACACUGGUUGGGCCGCGCGUUGUGGCUCACGCCUGUAAUCCUAGCACUUUGGGAGGCCGAGGCGGAUGGAUCAAUUUAGGUCACGAGUUUGAGACUGGCCUGGCCAACAUGGUGAAAGCCCAUCUCUACUAAAAAUACAAAAAUUAGCCGUAGUGGUGGGUACCUGUAAUCCCAGCUACUCCGGAGCCUGAGACAGGAGAAUGGUUUGAAUCCGUGAGGCGGAGGUUGCAGUGGGCCGAGAUCGCGCCAUUGCACGCCAGCCUGGGCUACAAGAGCGAAACUCCGUCUCAAAAAAAAGAAAAAGAAAGAAAGAAAUGUGGGAUAUGAUGAGGUUUCUCUUCAAAUAAUUAGAUCAGUCUUUUAUUCUUUAAUUCAUAGUAUCCCCCACACACACCUUUUUUCCCCUUUUUCUCCUUUUUUUUUCCUUUUUGCCUUCAUUAGAUGCCCAGGCACGCCACAGUACCAGGCGUUAUCUGUACCAGCUCACAUUCCUUUCUUUAUUUGGAAAGAGGACUAACUUUGUAGUUUAUUACAGGCACCCCUUCCCCUUCCUCUCUACUUUCUUUUAAGUGUCCACCUUAUCUAAAAAAUUCAAGUGUUUAGCCAACCGGGAUUAGUUUAGAUUGUAUGACCCGCAGGACUUGCGUCAGGAAUAAAGGCUCUCGUGCCCCUUUGUUCAGGUGUGCUCUCAUGGCGACUGGCCAAACAGACACCCCUCUGCACAGAAGUAAAAUUGCUUUGCUAAGAA